rnacentral:ribozyme from 1 species
AGGAUGAAAGUGAAGAAGAAAGGAGAAAGAAGUAAAAGAAAGGAGGGAAAAGUCACACCUCACUUUUCCUUCUUCCUUUUUUCACCCUUCUCUUCGUGUGUUCUCCCUCCUUCCUCCUCCUCUUU